rnacentral:lncRNA from 1 species
CAUGUAUGGUUUUGGUUGUUUAAAACAAUCACAUGGGUGCACGAUUGUUUUUUUUUUUUUUUGAGAAAAGGCUAAGGGUGCAAGAAUUUUACAAGUAACUAUCUUAUCUAACCUCUAGUAGCAUGCAUCGUCGUAAUAUUUUUUACCAUGUAUACAGGAUUUUUUUUUGGGUAAAAUGUAUACAAGAUUUUUUGAAAUAAAUAAUAAGAAAAAGGUACUUUAACAAAUAAAAACGUCAUAAUUAAGUGAUAGGUUUGGCAGAGACUGCAAAGAGUUCAUUUUGGAUAAUAUAUGGUUGGUAUUAUAUCCGUGGUGGGCUUCUCCGAAAGUCUUUACGAAUCGAGUGUGUAAGUUCAUGAUAUUCAACGUUGCUAAUUAAUGCUUGGGAGGAGAGCAUCGACCUCCGCGAGGAGGUCUUGGAACUGUUAUACAAGGCUUAAGUCGACUACUCAGAGGAGCUCGACAUGGUGGGGAUGGUCUUACGCAUAUGCUAGGUUUCGACCCUAUCAGUAUCCGUGCAGCCUCACCUACACAAACAAGUCAAUAUGUUAGCAAAUAUUACAGGAGAGAUUAUUAAAAAGUUAUAAUUAACAUUUAUGUAAUUAGUGUCCAAGUAUUGCCGAAGCGUCGUGACUAAUCUCUGAGGUAAGCAUGUCUCUUGGUAAGAACUUUCUUACUAAUCCACCACAGCUAAAACACCAACCAAUUGACCCACACACAGGAAAAAAAAAACAUGGUAUUUUAGAUCCAACACCACUGUGUACUCCACAACAAUAGAAAACGUGGUAUUUAUGGUAUUCACGAAAAUAAUUAAACAAUUUCUGAUUCCAACGGAGAAGAGUGCAUUUUGGACGAAUUUUGUUUAUUUUUCAUUUAUUUUAGAACGAGUAAUUUAUUGUGGUAACACGCUAUUUUUCUAAAUAUACAUCUAAUUUAUCAAAAGGAAGUUUUUAUACGAAUCUACUCUAAUAAGAAGUAUUAUAUGAUUUUAAUUGAUCAAAAUGGAGUUAAUUUUGUUUCUUCAGUUAAAACUAUGAUGUGACAGAAAUUUUCGGAAUAAGAAGAGACUGACCUAGGUGACGGAGUCUAGCCUCUGUGACACGAGCCUGAAAGGAUAGACAUAGAAAUAUAUGAAGUAAGCUCAGAAGAAGAAAAGCUUGUCUUGUUUUCUUCAUUACCAAUGUUUUGUUCUUAAUUCUCUCAAGUGUCG